rfam:Rattus norvegicus chromosome 10, whole genome shotgun sequence.
GGGGAUUUAGCUCAGUGGUAGAGCGCUUGCCUUGUAAGCGCAAGGCCCUGGGUUCGGUCCUCAGCUCCA